AAGUCGAACGCGUUGGCCCAAUUGAUUGAUGGUGCUUGCACCUGAUUGAUUUUGGUCGCCAACGAGUGGCGGACGGGUGAGUAACACGUAGGUAACCUGCCCAGAAGCGGGGGACAACAUUUGGAAACAGAUGCUAAUACCGCAUAACAGCGUUGUUCGCAUGAACAACGCUUAAAAGAUGGCUUCUCGCUAUCACUUCUGGAUGGACCUGCGGUGCAUUAGCUUGUUGGUGGGGUAACGGCCUACCAAGGCGAUGAUGCAUAGCCGAGUUGAGAGACUGAUCGGCCACAAUGGGACUGAGACACGGCCCAUACUCCUACGGGAGGCAGCAGUAGGGAAUCUUCCACAAUGGGCGCAAGCCUGAUGGAGCAACACCGCGUGAGUGAAGAAGGGUUUCGGCUCGUAAAGCUCUGUUGUUAAAGAAGAACACGUAUGAGAGUAACUGUUCAUACGUUGACGGUAUUUAACCAGAAAGUCACGGCUAACUACGUGCCAGCAGCCGCGGUAAUACGUAGGUGGCAAGCGUUAUCCGGAUUUAUUGGGCGUAAAGAGAGUGCAGGCGGUUUUCUAAGUCUGAUGUGAAAGCCUUCGGCUUAACCGGAGAAGUGCAUCGGAAACUGGAUAACUUGAGUGCAGAAGAGGGUAGUGGAACUCCAUGUGUAGCGGUGGAAUGCGUAGAUAUAUGGAAGAACACCAGUGGCGAAGGCGGCUACCUGGUCUGCAACUGACGCUGAGACUCGAAAGCAUGGGUAGCGAACAGGAUUAGAUACCCUGGUAGUCCAUGCCGUAAACGAUGAGUGCUAGGUGUUGGAGGGUUUCCGCCCUUCAGUGCCGGAGCUAACGCAUUAAGCACUCCGCCUGGGGAGUACGACCGCAAGGUUGAAACUCAAAGGAAUUGACGGGGGCCCGCACAAGCGGUGGAGCAUGUGGUUUAAUUCGAAGCUACGCGAAGAACCUUACCAGGUCUUGACAUCUUGCGCCAACCCUAGAGAUAGGGCGUUUCCUUCGGGAACGCAAUGACAGGUGGUGCAUGGUCGUCGUCAGCUCGUGUCGUGAGAUGUUGGGUUAAGUCCCGCAACGAGCGCAACCCUUGUUACUAGUUGCCAGCAUUAAGUUGGGCACUCUAGUGAGACUGCCGGUGACAAACCGGAGGAAGGUGGGGACGACGUCAGAUCAUCAUGCCCCUUAUGACCUGGGCUACACACGUGCUACAAUGGACGGUACAACGAGUCGCGAACUCGCGAGGGCAAGCAAAUCUCUUAAAACCGUUCUCAGUUCGGACUGCAGGCUGCAACUCGCCUGCACGAAGUCGGAAUCGCUAGUAAUCGCGGAUCAGCAUGCCGCGGUGAAUACGUUCCCGGGCCUUGUACACACCGCCCGUCACACCAUGAGAGUUUGUAACACCCAAAGUCGGUGGGGUAACCUUUAGGAGCCAGC
rnacentral:rRNA from 2 species